rnacentral:rRNA from 1 species
CCUACGGGGUGCAGCAGUGAGGAAUAUUGGUCAAUGGCCGCAGGGCUGAACCAGCCAAGUCGCGUGAGGGAUGACGGUCCUAUGGAUUGUAAACCUCUUUUGUCAGGGAGCAAAGGGCGCCACGUGUGGCGCUUUGCGAGUACCUGAAGAACAAGCAUCGGCUAACUCCGUGCCAGCAGCCGCGGUAAUACGGAGGAUGCGAGCGUUAUCCGGAUUUAUUGGGUUUAAAGGGUGCGCAGGCGGAAUGUCAAGUCAGCGGUAAAAUUUCGGGGCUCAACCCCGUCGUGCCGUUGAAACUGGCGUUCUUGAGUGAGCGAGAAGUAUGCGGAAUGCGUGGUGUAGCGGUGAAAUGCAUAGAUAUCACGCAGAACUCCGAUUGCGAAGGCAGCAUACCGGCGCUCAACUGACGCUCAUGCACGAAAGCGUGGGUAUCGAACAGGAUUAGAUACCCCUGUAGUC